UGGGCCGUGGUCUAGCUGGGUAGGAUGCCGGCCUUGGGAGCCGGAGGUCCCGGGUUCAAAUCCCGGCGGCCCCA
rnacentral:tRNA from 1 species